UGCGUGAAGUUGGAAUCGCUAGUAAUCGCGGAUCAGCAUGCCGCGGUGAAUACGUUCCCGGGCCUUGUACACACCGCCCGUCACACCAUGAGAGUCGGGAACACCCGAAGUCCGUAGUCUAACAGCAAUGGGGGCGCGGCCGAAGGUGGGUUCGAUAAUUGGGGUGAAGUCGUAACAAGGUAAC
rnacentral:rRNA from 1 species